CCAGAGGAAUACUACUGAGCAUUAGCUUAAAACCCAAAGGACUUGGCGGUGCUUUAGACCCACCUAGAGGAGCCUGUUCUAUAACUGAUACCCCCCGAUAAACCUCACCACCCCUUGCUCAUACCGCCUAUAUACCGCCGUCGUCAGCUUACCCUGUGNAGGUACUAAUCGUAAGCAAAGUUAGUAAUACUCAGAACGUCAGGUCGAGGUGUAGCACAUGGAGUGGAAAGAAAUGGGCUACAUUCUCUCUCGAGAGAAUACGAAUGGUGGGAUGAAACGCCCACC
rnacentral:rRNA from 1 species